CUUGACCAUUUGAAGAAUGCAUUUGAGGAUGAGAUGGCAAAGUUUCCUUGGGAUUACUAGCAUGCGACUCUGUUAAGAACUAGAGUGAAUGGACAUUCAAUUUAUUGGGCUUGAUGGAAAUUAGAGGAAGGAGUAUUUUGAUGAGACUUCGAUAAUCUUGGUUGUUAUUAAGUAAUCAAUUGUAGCAGAUCGUCAUACAUUUAACAUUUGAC
rnacentral:misc_RNA from 1 species